GCCCUGAUAGCUCAGUUGGAUAGAGCGGAAGACUUCUAAUCUUCAGGCCGUGGGUUCGAUCCCCACUCAGGGCU
rnacentral:tRNA from 1 species